GAUGAAGAACGUAGCGAAAUGCGAUAAGUAGUGUGAAUUGCAGAAUUCAGUGAAUCAUCGAAUCUUUGAACGCACAUUGCGCCCUUUGGUACUCCUUAGGGCAUGCCUGUUCGAGCGUCAUUUAAACCUUCAAGCUCAGCUUGGUGUUGGGUGACUGUCCGCUUCACCGCGGACUCGCCUCAAAAUUAUUGGCGGCCGGUACAUUGGCUCUCGAGCGCAGCAGAAACGCGUAACUCGAGGUCCUCGUGCUGGCUCCCAGAAGCUAUCUUCACAAUUUUGACCUCGGAUCAGGUAGGGAUACCCGCUGAACUUAAGCAUAUCAACAAGCGGAGGA
rnacentral:misc_RNA from 1 species